rnacentral:tRNA from 1 species
UGAGAUUAGUGUAAGGGUUAACACGGUGGCUUGUGGCGCUAUCAAUAAGGGUUCGAAUCCCCUAUCUCAACCA